GACGAACGCUGGCGGCGUGCUUAACACAUGCAAGUCGAACGCUGAAGACCUGGCUUUUGUUGGGUUGGAUGAGUGGCGAACGGGUGAGUAACACGUGAGUAACCUGCCCUCUUCUUUGGGAUAACGCCCGGAAACGGGUGCUAAUACUGGAUAUUCACUGGCCUUCGCAUGGGGGUUGGUGGAAAGGUUUGUUCUGGUGGGGGAUGGGCUCGCGGCCUAUCAGCUUGUUGGUGGGGUGAUGGCCUACCAAGGCUUUGACGGGUAGCCGGCCUGAGAGGGUGACCGGUCACAUUGGGACUGAGAUACGGCCCAGACUCCUACGGGAGGCAGCAGUGGGGAAUAUUGCACAAUGGGCGAAAGCCUGAUGCAGCGACGCCGCGUGAGGGAUGGAGGCCUUCGGGUUGUAAACCUCUUUCGCUCAUGGUCAAGCCGCAACUGUGGGUUGUGGUGAGGGUAGUGGGUAAAGAAGCGCCGGCCUCACUACCUUCCAGCAGCCGCGGGAAUUCUUAUGGAGCAUCGUUGUUGCGGAAUGAUAAGGCUUAAAGGGCAUGUAUGCUCCAGGAACAUCUAGUCCAAACUUCUAUCGCUUAACGGACAAUUCAUCUUUUACCUGCUCCAUGAGCGGAAAGGAGAGAACUGGUGUUUUGUGUGUUUUCAACAACCUGAGUCACGAGGACGCUGGAGGUUUGGUGGGGUGU
rnacentral:rRNA from 1 species